rnacentral:rRNA from 1 species
GACGAACGCUGGCGGCGUGCUUAACACAUGCAAGUCGAACGGAAAGGCCCUGCUUUUGUGGGGUGCUCGAGUGGCGAACGGGUGAGUAACACGUGAGUAACCUGCCCUUGACUUUGGGAUAACUUCAGGAAACUGGGGCUAAUACAGGAUAGGAGCUCCUGCUGCAUGGUGGGGGUUGGACAGUUUCGGCGGUUGGGGAUGGACUCGCGGCUUAUCAGCUUGUUGGUGGGGUAGUGGCUUACCAAGGCUUUGACGGGUAGCCGGCCUGAGAGGGUGACCGGCCACAUGGGGACUGAGAGACGGCCCAGACUCCUACGGGAGGCAGCAGUGGGGAAUAUUGCACAAUGGGCGGAAGCCUGAUGCAGCAACGCCGCGUGCGGGAUGACGGCCUGCUGGUUGUAAACCGCUUUCGCCUGUGACGAAGCGGGAGUGACGGUAAUGGGUAAAGAAGCACCGGCUAACUACGUG